rnacentral:rRNA from 1 species
UACGUAGGGGGCAAGCGUUGUCCGGAUUUAUUGGGCGUAAAGAGCGUGUAGGCGGCCAGGUAGGUGGGUUGUGAAAACUGGAGGCUCAACCUUCAGAGGUCGACCCAAACCUCCUGGCUAGAGUCCGGAAGAGGAGAGUGGAAUUCCUGGUGUAGCGGUGAAAUGCGCAGAUAUCAGGAAGAACACCAACGGCGAAGGCAGCUCGCUAGGACGGUACUGACGCUGAGACGCGAAAGCGUGGGGAGCGAACAGG